AACGAACGCUGGCGGCGCGCCUAAUACAUGCAAGUCGAGCGAGAAGACGUAGCAAUACGUUUGUAAAGCGGCGAACGGGUGAGGAAUACAUGGGUAACCUACCCUCGAGUGGGGAAUAACUAGCCGAAAGGUUAGCUAAUACCGCAUACGACUCUCGGUCUGCGGAUCGAGAGAGAAAGCGAUACCGUGGGUAUCGCGCUCAUGGAUGGGCUCAUGUCCUAUCAGCUUGUUGGUGAGGUAACGGCUCACCAAGGCUUCGACGGGUAGCUGGUCUGAGAGGACGAUCAGCCACACUGGCACUGCGACACGGGCCAGACUCCUACGGGAGGCAGCAGUAAGGAAUAUUGCGCAAUGGGCGACAGCCUGACGCAGCGACGCCGCGUGGGGGAUGAAGGUCUUCGGAUUGUAAACCCCUUUCGGCAGGGAAGAUGGAACGGGCAACCGUUCGGACGGUACCUGCAGAAGCAGCCACGGCUAACUUCGUGCCAGCAGCCGCGGUAAUACGAAGGUGGCAAGCGUUGUUCGGAUUUACUGGGCGUACAGGGAGCGUAGGCGGUCGGGUAAGCCCUCCGUGAAAUCUCCGGGCCUAACCCGGAAAGGGCGGAGGGGACUGCUCGGCUAGAGGAUGGGAGAGGAGCGCGG
rnacentral:rRNA from 1 species